AUGAACGCUGGCGGCGUGCCUAAUACAUGCAAGUCGAGCGAACAGAUAAGGAGCUUGCUCCUUUGACGUUAGCGGCGGACGGGUGAGUAACACGUGGGUAACCUACCUAUAAGACUGGGAUAACUUCGGGAAACCGGAGCUAAUACCGGAUAAUAUUUCGAACCGCAUGGUUCGAUAGUGAAAGAUGGUUUUGCUAUCACUUAUAGAUGGACCCGCGCCGUAUUAGCUAGUUGGUAAGGUAACGGCUUACCAAGGCGACGAUACGUAGCCGACCUGAGAAGGUGAUCGGCCACACUGGAACUGAGACACGGUCCAGACUCCUACGGGAGGCAGCAGUAGGGAAUCUUCCGCAAUGGGCGAAAGCCUGACGGAGCAACGCCGCGUGAGUGAUGAAGGUCUUCGGAUCGUAAAACUCUGUUAUUAGGGAAGAACAUACGUGUAAGUAACUGUGCACGUCUUGACGGUACCUAAUCAGAAAGCCACGGCUAACUACGUG
rnacentral:rRNA from 1 species